AGAACGAACGCUGGCGGCAUGCCUAAUACAUGCAAGUCGAACGAACUCUUCGGAGUUAGUGGCGCACGGGAGAGUAAUGCCUAGGAAUCUGCCUAGUGGUGGGGGAUAACGUUCGGAAACGGACGCUAAUACCGCAUACGUCCUACGGGAGAAAGCGGGGGACCUUCGGGCCUCGCGCCAUUAGAUGAGCCUAGGUCGGAUUAGCUAGUUGGUGAGGUAAUGGCUCACCAAGGCGACGAUCCGUAACUGGUCUGAGAGGAUGAUCAGUCACACUGGAACUGAGACACGGUCCAGACUCCUACGGGAGGCAGCAGUGGGGAAUAUUGGACAAUGGGCGAAAGCCUGAUCCAGCCAUGCCGCGUGUGUGAAGAAGGUCUUCGGAUUGUAAAGCACUUUAAGUUGGAGGAAGGUUGUAACCUAAUACGUUGCAACUUUGACGUUACGACAGAAUAAGCACGCUAACUUCGUGCCAGUAGCCG
rnacentral:rRNA from 1 species